AUACGUAGGUGGCGAGCAUUGUCCGGAAUUACUGGGUGUAAAGGGUGCGCAGGCGGGUUGUCAAGUUGGGUGUGAAAUCUCUGGGCUUAACUCAGAGUUUGCAUUCAAAACUGGCGAUCUUGAGUGAGGUAGAGGCAGGCGGAAUUCCCGGUGUAGCGGUGAAAUGCGUAGAGAUCGGGAGGAACACCAGUGGCGAAGGCGGCCUGCUGGGCCUUAACUGACGCUGAGGCACGAAAGCAUGGGUAGCAAACAGGAUUAGAUACCCUGGUAGUCCAUGCUGUAAACGAUGAUUGCUAGGUGUGGGUGGACUGACCCCAUCCGUGCCGGAGUUAACACAAUAAGCAAUCCACCUGGGGAGUACGGCCGCAAGGUUGAA
rnacentral:rRNA from 1 species